ACCUUAUCAAGAGAGGUGGAGGGACUGGCCCUGUGAAACCCGGCAACCAGCACAGCAAUGUGAGAUGGUGCCAAUUCCUGCGAGAUAUAUUCUUGGCAGAUGAGGU
rnacentral:ncRNA from 2 species